rnacentral:lncRNA from 1 species
GUGUGCGUAAUGUUGGACCCACUGGUAAGACAAACACCCGUUUCCACAAAUAAAGACACUCACAUAAAGUUGCUCAUAUUCAAACCUCACGUGACAAAGGUGGGUUGAGCGCACAGAUCACAACAUAAACUCCAAAAAUGGCAUUAAAAUCGGAACCAUCUGUGCGUAAAUGACGCAUCGCGCUCCGUGGCCUGGCUCUUUCUUUCAUAGAUGUUGGCAUAUAAAAUAAAUUUGGCUCACAAAACUGAAUAUUAUAAUAUCCGUAUGUCGGCUUAAAGUAGAUAACGCAUCUGAGCACUGAAACAAAUCAUCUGUUCAGCUGCAGCAGCAGCAAGACGGACAGAGGACACGGAGACGUGUCCAGGUCGAGCUGUGCGAGAAAUAAGAGGAAGAGGAAGAAAGAAAAGGAGGGAGACGAAUUACAUAUCUUGUUAACUUCAUCAUGUGUGUAUAUUUACUAGAUAUUUAAUUUAAUUUGAUGCGGUUUCAGCUGUGUUGAUUCGGUCAGGUUGUGUGUCCAAACGCGUGCCAAACGCGCUCAUCAGAUCAGAUAUAGAUCAGAAUAUAUCGAUAUAGAUCUAAAUGUAUGUGCUGACUCAGAUUAAUAGUUGAUGAUGAUUAUUUAUUGCACUGAAAUGUGCCUGACACUGUGGAAACCUGCCGGUGAGGCAUCAGUGACGUAUGUCGAUACGCCGCCGGUCUACCAAAAUACUACUGGACCAGCUGCGUUCCGCCUUGCGCUGAAAGCUGACCAGGUUUGAAUCGGCGAGCUUUCAGCGCACUUUACACGCCGUUGGCAAGCACGAAAAUGUCACUGCGCCAGCUGAUUCUGUCGACACCUCCCCCUGCCACGCCACCCAAGCCCAGCUUGGCGGAUCUCGGCUCGCCUCCGUGCGGCUCAUGCCACGAAAAUACCAAACUGGCCUUACGCUGGGCUCCGCCAGACGAAAAUACAACUGCGCGGGGCUCGCCGCCCUCCGCCGCCUCACCGGCGCGCACGAAAAUAGAGCCCUAUGUUGGAGUGAGCACCGCCUAAGUAAAAAUGCCAUCCAUCAUGAGUAUUUUUACUCUCAGAGGUGUUACAUUUGAAAGCUGUUUACUUUCUGUGUUUUUCUUCAAAAGAUCUUCGAGCUCCUGCGGUUAAUUGAGGAGGCAACAACCAUAUCUGACAACAUCAAGAGAGGCGAGAUUCACUUGCUUGAUUUUGUCUUUGAUGUCAUGCUCCCAGAGGUGAGUAGAUCAAACUAUAUAGCUUGCUUUGAAAAUUGAUGAUAUUGUUAAGAGGUUGUUUUUAUUCAUUUGGAAAGCUCAAGAACAACAAUUAACCCAUACUGCAUAACUUCAAAUGUUCACAUUAUUUUACUGUUUUUCAGCUUUUGAUCAAAGUACUUCAAGAGCAUGGCAUCACCCGACUCAGGGCGGAACAGAUGAUGACCUGUGGCAGUCUAUUUUAAGCCCCCACCACACCGACGGCAACGCUCUCAAUUAUGGGACGUGGAAGCCUGUAUAUGUAUAUAUGAUUAUAUUUUUUUACUGUGUGUUUACAAUUUAUUGUAAUUGUUAAUAUUAAAGAAAUCUUUGAA